UUGGUUUUUUUUUGCUCGGCCUCUUUAUCUUUCAAUUGCAAAGCAAUUAAAGGUUUGUAUGAAUCUGCGAGCAUCCCUCCCCGCGGGGCCCUCUGAUGCCCGCUGUAUUGCCCUUUAGAUGCCUCUUCCUUUUUUUGUUUUACAAUUGUUGUAUCAAUAUAAUGCUUCCUUUCUUCCUCUGUCUCUAUAGAUACAGAUAUACAAGGCAAACCAAAGGUUUCGGCUGCUAUUCAGUGCCUCCUCAUUUGUCCCAGAGCCGUAACAGUGGUGCCCUUUCUCUUCUGGCUGCUUUUCCCUGCUUCUGGAGCAGCAGUUAUGGGAGAAGCAGAUGGCUACUGAUUGGACUCUGCAUUUGCUCAGAAGAAAGUAGAGGGGAAAUUUGGGCACCAUCAGGGAUGAGGAGAGAGCCAAGAUGCCUCUGGUUUGUCUGAACCAUGAGAAAGCAGGAGUAACCACACACCCGUAGGCCUGGCGCAUGACACGACUCAGGCAGUGUUUCCCAAAGGAUGCAGGAGUGUUUCUAAUCACAGGUUGAGCAGCCUUUCCUGGUCCCUCUCCUCUCCCUUUCCUGCGUGAAGGUCAGCGAGGAAAGAGAAGACUGACACCCGCGGGAGCAGGUGCUCUGUCCUGUGCAGCCAUCCCCACAAGAACUCAUCCCGGGAAGAAGAGGGUUAUCACGGUGGUUAGUGACAACGGUGUCCAAGCAUCCAGGCAUCCGCACGCUGCCAGCCCUGCGGCCCCUGCAGCCACCUGAAUCCCCACCAGGUCCCGGCCAGGGAGCAGUGGACCCCCAGGCCUUGAUGCUUCUGUGAGGAUUUGGCUCGCCAGCCCAGCCCCUUCUGAGCUCAGGUCCCGGGCUUGUCCGCUGCUCCUGGGGCUUCCCCUUGCCCGGGAGCUGGUUGUGCCGCGCUGGUGCCGUCGAAAGGGUCU